rnacentral:lncRNA from 1 species
AAAUCUUUUUUGUACUAAACUGCUUUGGAAUGAAUUUUUUUGGGGGACAACAGCAGGAUUAGGGCCAUCUUCUAGAUGCCAUCAGGUAGGUGCGCUAGCGUAGUCGUGUGUUGUAGCAUUAUAUCCCUUUUCCCCCUUUUUUAAAAAUGUUUGUAAGACGCCUGAAAUUUGUAUAAGUUAGUUAUAUAAGUAGUUGAAUAAGAAUUGGUGAGACUUGGAAAAUAGAAGAGGACAGAGAAGAUGGAAGAGGAUUGCUUUGAAAUAGAAGGAAAGGAGAUAGAAGAUGUUUGAGGGGAAAGGAGGAGGAUUUUGUUCGCUGUAAUGGAAGUUUUUUGAAUGAAAUUUGGUGCAACUGUAUUAAGGUGUUAUUGAUAUCUUGGACAUCAGGUUUCAUUUAUUUGUGUAUUAUACAAGCCUAUCUAUUGGUGGAUAUGUAAAAUGGCAGCUGGUAUAACACCUUGUAUGAAUUAUUAGUAACUCCAAAGAAGUUUUUACAUAAUUUAAACUGGGAAGAAGCUCAUAAAAGACCAGUUUAGGCUGCAGUAGUACCAGGACCUUAAAUUGGCUUCCACAACGCAGAUAUCUUUCAAAAAUGAUAUCUGUUCGAGUGAUGUACUGGGCGUUAACAGUUGCUGUUACAAAUCUGCAAAUGAGUUACUACUGUGCAUACGUUUGAA